UCGCUGGUGGUCCAGUGGUUAGGACUGUGCACUAUCACUGCAGAUGUCCUAGGUUCAAUCCCUGGUCAGGGAA